rnacentral:misc_RNA from 1 species
AUAAUAAACACAAUUAGCAGUAGUAGAUAUAAGGUUUUUACAGAAAGCAAACGUUUGAUGCGAGUUUGCAAAAUCUUGAUUCGAACUCGGCUGAUAAUUUUAAUUAAUUAAUCUAUAUUGAGUGCGCUUUAGCGAAUUCAGGUGGUACCGCGGAAAUCCGUCCUGUUG